UACAGAGGGUGCAAGCGUUGCUCGGAUUUACUGGGCGUAAAGCGUACGCAGACGGUUUGGUAGGUCGGAUGUGAAAGCCCCGGGCUCAACCCGGGAAUUGCAUCCGAAACCACCUCACUCGAGUGUGGGAGAGGGAAGCGGAAUUCCUGGUGUAGAGGUGAAAUUCGUAGAUAUCAGGAGGAACACCGGCGGCGAAGGCGGCUUCCUGGCCCAUUACUGACGUUCAGGUACGAAAGCGUGGGGAGCAAACAGG
rnacentral:rRNA from 1 species